rnacentral:rRNA from 1 species
UACGGAGGGUGCAAGCGUUAUCCGGAUUUACUGGGUUUAAAGGGUGCGUAGGGGGGUUGGUAAGUCAGUGGUGAAAUACUUUCGCUUAACGAAGGAACUGCCAUUGAUACUACCAGUCUUGAAUACAGUGGAGGUAGGCGGAAUGCGUCAUGUAGCGGUGAAAUGCUUAGAUAUGACGCAGAACACCAAUUGCGAAGGCAGCUUGCUACACUGUUAUUGACACUGAGGCACGAAAGCGUGGGGAUCAAACAGG